rnacentral:rRNA from 1 species
AUUGAACGCUGGCGGCAUGCCUUACACAUGCAAGUCGAACGGCAGCACGGGUGCUUGCACCUGUUGGCGAGUGGCGAACGGGUGAGUAAUACAUCGGAACAUGUCCUGUAGUGGGGGAUAGCCCGGCGAAAGCCGGGUUAAUACCGCAUACGAUCUGCGGAUGAAAGCGGGGGCCCUUCGGGCCUCGCGCUAUCGGGUUGGCCGAUGGCUGAUUAGCUAGUUGGUGGGGUAAAGGCCUACCAAGGCGACGAUCAGUAGCUGGUCUGAGGGGACGACCAGCCACACUGGGACUGAGACACGGCCCAGACUCCUACGGGAGGCAGCAGUGGGGAAUUUUGGACAAUGGGCGAAAGCCUGAUCCAGCAAUGCCGCGUGUGUGAAGAAGGCCUUCGGGUUGUAAAGCACUUUUGUCCGGAAAGAAAUCCUUGGCCCUAAUACGGUCGGGGGAUGACGGUACCGGAAGAAUAAGCACCGGCUAACUACGUG